rnacentral:rRNA from 1 species
GUCCCGGCCCUAAACUGUGCGCAUUUGCUGUGAGCGGAAUCGACCCCGCUCGUGGCGGAGCUAACGCGUUAAAUGCGCCGCCUGGGGAGUACGGCCGCAAGGUUAAAACUCAAAGAAAUUGACGGGGGCCUGCACAAGCGGUGGAGUAUGUGGCUUAAUUCGAUGCAACGCGAAGAACCUUACCUGGCCUUGACAUGCAGAUGGUAGAAGCCUGAAAGGGUGACGACCCCGCAAGGGGAGUCUGCACAGGUGCUGCAUGGCUGUCGU